rnacentral:other from 1 species
UAAUUCCUGCUUUGUUCGUGUUCCCUAUGAUAGUUAUAACCCAACACCCUAUCAAAAGGAGAGACGCUUUGUCAGCGGAUUGCAGACCUCCCGGUCAGGUUGAAAGGACACCUGAUUGGACGAAGGGAGCGUGAACCUGACUCGCUAUCACCAUCCUGCGUAAAGCAGGUUAUACACGUCAUAAAACGGCAAUUGCGGGGCAAGA